rnacentral:rRNA from 1 species
GACGAACGCUGGCGGCGUGCCUAACACAUGCAGGUCGAACGGAACUGUUUUGAAAGAUUUCUUCGGAAUGAAUUUGAUUUAGUUUAGUGGCGGACGGGUGAGUAACGCGUGAGUAACCUGCCUUCAAGAGGGGAAUAACAUUCUGAAAAGAAUGCUAAUACCGCAUGACAUAUCGGAACCACAUGGUUUUGAUAUCAAAGAUUUUAUCGCUUGAAGAUGGACUCGCGUCCGAUUAGUUAGUUGGUGAGGUAACGGCGCACCAAGACCGCGAUCGGUAGCCGGACUGAGAGGUUGAGCGGCCACAUUGGGACUGAGACACGGCCCAGACACCUACGGGAGGCAGCAGUGGGGGAUAUUGCGCAAGGGGGGCAACCCUGACGCAGCAACGCCGCGUGAAGGAUGAAGGGUUUCGGAGUGUAAACUUCUUUUAUUAAGGACGAAAAAUGACGGUACUUAAUGAAUAAGCUCCGGCUAACUACGUG